ACGGAUCUCUUGGUUCUCGCAUCGAUGAAGAACGCAGCGAAAUGCGAUACGUAAUAUGAAUUGCAGAUAUUCGUGAAUCAUCGAAUCUUUGAACGCACAUUGCGCCCUCUGGUAUUCCGGAGGGCAUGCCUGUUUGAGCGUCGUUUCUCCCUCAAACCGCUGGGUUUGGUGUUGAGCAAUACGACUUGGGUUUGCUUGAAAGACGGUAGUGGUAAGGCGGGAUCGCUUUGACAAUGGCUUAGGUCUAACCAAAAACAUUGCUUGCGGCGGUAACGUCCACCACGUAUAUCUUCAAACUUUGACCUCAAAUCAGGUAGGACUACCCGCUGAACUUAAGCAUAUC
rnacentral:rRNA from 1 species